GAAAAUUCAGUUGGAUUUCUUCAAUUGGGGUUGGAUUUAAUCAAUUGGGGUUUGUUGUGCUUCGUAAGGUAAUUUCUUAUUUCAAUUUCAUCAUUUUAUUCCCAACCUGCAUUUUAUUUGUUAGUAGAAGAAUAUAAUCAUAUUAUUGUUACCAUUGGAAAAAAAAUGAGUUGAUUCAACCACUUUUAGAAGUAUCUACUGUGAUUCUAUUAUAUUCCUUACCAAAAUAAAUCAAUUAGAUUGUUGUUCAAGUUAUUAAGAUAGGUUGCUUUCUGUGCUUCCAUUUUAAUCAAAUUAUUUCCUCUAUAAUGGUUGUUUGUUCAUCUUAGUUUGACACAAAAUUUGUUAUAUAAACCUGCUAUACUGUUGUUUGUGAUGAAAAUUUAAUUUUGGAAGUUCGUUAUUCUUUGUUGUAGUUGCACUUGGUGUUGUUGCUAUCAAGUAGUUGAUAUGAUACUCAUUCAUAAUCUAUUCAUGAUUUGUUACUUUAAGGGAAUUAUUUCGUUUUUAUGAUAUGUACAAAGAUAAUAUUGCAUUGCACGCAUGGGAAUUUCUCUUUAUCCUGCAUUAAAGAAAAGUUUAUAGAAUUAUACAUGACCUGUGAGCUAUUUCGAUAAAGAAAGCUCUAAGUGCCAAGGUGGCUAAACCGAGCCUCAACACGACACGUCAAUUGAUUAGGACAUGAUUAAUUAUGAUAAUGCAUUACAAUCAUACAAUAUACAGUGGGACUCCCCUUCGAUCACACAUGAUCAACUACUCUAGAGAGCGACCUAUUUUGAAGAGAUAUCCGACUUGGCCCUAUUACACACUCUAAAAAUAUGAUCUAUAGUCCCACUGGAGUAGAGGGACAUGGUCUUCAUAAUCUCCAAAACAAAGUGCCUAUAAUACAAAGGAGGUUUUUCCCGGUCAUUAAGAAUGUUGGUUGCUCUAAGGGAAUCAGUUCCCACUAAUAUAUUCCUUGAGUCCAAAACAAUUCCCUCCUUCAGAUACACAUCUAUUGCCUUAAACUCUAGUAAUGAUUGAAUUGGAGGUUUAACACUGCCAUGAUUAUCUUCGAAGAGUCUUCCAUAUCCACUUAGUUCUUUGCUCACAGAAUUAUCAAAAUUAAGGGAAAGGACUGAUGGUGGAGCUCUGCAUCUCAGUAAGACGAGUAAGGUAUGUCUAAUGGUUACUAAUUCAUUAAUUAUUGAUCUUUUCAUAUAGUGCAUAUCGUAUAUUUUUGAGUUUAACUUAACGAGUCUUAUUUUCCCAUUUAAAUUUGACUUUAAAUCCAUACCUAAAAAAUAUGUGGCAUAUAUAGAAUUCUUCACUACCUCAACUGAUUCUUAUGCUUGGCAGUGUACUAUUAAUCUAAAUGUUCUUUUCUCUAGUUGCACUUGGUUUUGUUGUAUCACGUAGUAGUUAUUAAGGUUUUUGGUAAAUCUAGUUUUUUUUUAUCAUAUCAAUGAUGAAUGGUCAUCUACACUAUUAAAACUCUGUUAAAUGUAGUCCAUAGACUUUCUUUCUCUGAACAUUUUUUUUGUGUGCCCUAACCCUGGACUGCUAGGUCUAUUGUCUUUAUAUGGGUUGGGUUGUGUGAUCUGGAUUUUUCUGCUAGGUGUUGCAUAUUAAUUUGAUAUAUUGAAUUAUUUUGUUAUUAAUAUUAAUUAUUUUGUGUGUGCAUGUGUAUAUAUAUAGUAUUGCAGAAUGUCGUUACCACCUAAAAAAGACUGUAUGCGUGAAACCAAUAGAUUGAGUGAUGUGUAUUUAAAUGGAGUUUUGAAGAGUUCGUAGAAUUUGCACUAGCACACAACACUGAGAACCUAACUACAUGUACAUGCCCCUGUAAGAAAUAUUGCAAUGGGACUAAGGUGAAGUUUACAGAUUUAAAUACCCAUUUGAUAAGAAACGUGUAGACCCAAUAUAUACUAUAUGGUAUUUUCAUGGUGAAACAACAUCCGAUCAACAUUGAGUAGUAGAAAAUGAAAACAUUGAGGAAGAUGUCAUUGAUGAUGGAGGGCAUGGCAGACUUGGUAUGUGUUUUUUUUUAUUUUUAAUUUAUCUAAUCCCUUUUUAACUCCGCCAAAGCAAACUUAUGAAAACCAUUGCUUUGCCGGUCCCAAGCCCGGACAAAGGAAGAGGGAAAAGCGUAAUAUUAUUGUUAAAUAAGUAUUUAGUUGAAUUGUAAUAUUGUAGUCUAAUUGUAUUAAAAACUAACUUGGCUUUGUUUCUUACACAGACUGCACAUGGUACAAGAUACAAGCGUGAGUAGUGGAUGGUACUAAUUCAUUGCAAUGCAUGUACAGUGUUGUACAUUACAUGAUUCUUUCCAGGUAUGGUCAUAUCUGGAAGUGACAAACAGUUUUUUUUACCUUUGUUAAUUAGGUGCCAAGUUGCUACUUAUGUUGCUCUAAGCACUUCAGACAUUGUCUUUGCAGAACCUGGUCUAUGUGUUGUGUUAACAAGCAGAGUUAUUUUCUACCAUAUAGGCAUGCACGUCGUGAAUCGCCUUAUGCAAACGGGUAUGGUUUUGCUUCAUGUGUUUUAGAACUUUUUCUUUUCCUUCCCAUUCUUUUGGCUAAUGUAUUUUUACCUACUAAUCACAUGGCUUUUGGAUAAAGCAUUUUAUAUACAGAACUGUACUGAGAAUAUCCCCUGUCAGCCCUGAACAUGUAUCCCAAAGUGGCAGAGUUCUAAAAAUAUUGUAAAGUUUGAACUUCAACCCAAUUUGAAAGAGACAACUUUUCCAGGCUCCAAGUCUGGUAUUGCCCUCAAUGCAACAAUCAUGUCUGUUCAUUGUCUGUUGACAUUUGACAAUAAGCCAUUGUAGAACCACAUGUUUGUCGUAAAUUGGGACUUCAAUGUAGGGCUUUUACAUGGAAAAUUAGUUUUCACCUUUCGGUGUCUCAUUCAUUGUGUAUUCUAGACUUAUAGUUUAAAACUUAAUUCUUUUUUACCUACGCGUUUAUCCUCAUAUUCCAUGUCUUGAUUGACAGAGAUCGUUAUCAGAGCAGGAGCUAAAGAAGUCUUUGUUGGCAGCAGAAUGCAUGCAUCAUCAAAACAUUCUGGUCUUAGUAGGAUUGAUUCACAGAAGGAUGUUAUAUUUGUUGGUGUUUGAAACAUGGAAUGUUUAGACCAUUGGCUUUUGACUUGGGUAAGUGGCUUCUUCAAAAGAGUCUAUAACUCACUUUUG
rnacentral:lncRNA from 1 species